UGAUGCAGCCAUGCCGCGUGUGUGAAGAAGGCCUUCGGGUUGUAAAGCACUUUCAGCGAGGAGGAAAGGUUAGUGAUUAAUACUCACUAGCUGUGACGUUACUCGCAGAAGAAGCACCGGCUAACUUCGUGCCAGCAGCCGCGGUAAUACGAGGGGUGCAAGCGUUAAUCGGAAUUACUGGGCGUAAAGCGUACGCAGGCGGUUUGUUAAGCGAGAUGUGAAAGCCCCGGGCUCAACCUGGGAACUGCAUUUCGAACUGGCAAACUAGAGUCUUGUAGAGGGGGGUAGAAUUUCAGGUGUAGCGGUGAAAUGCGUAGAGAUCUGAAGGAAUACCGGUGGCGAAGGCGGCCCCCUGGACAAAAGACUGACGCUCAGGUACGAAAGCGUGGGGAGCAAACAGGAUUAGAUACCCUGGUAGUCCACGCCGUAAACGAUGUCUACUCGGAAUUUGGUGUCUUGAACACUGGGUUCUCAAGCUAACGCAUUAAGUAGACCGCCUGGGGAGUACGGCCGCAAGGUUAAAACUCAAAUGAAUUGACGGGGGCCCGCACAAGCGGUGGAGCAUGUGGUUUAAUUCGAUGCAACGCGAAGAACCUUACCUACUCUUGACAUCCUCAGAACUUCCAGAG
rnacentral:rRNA from 1 species